UACGGGGGGGGCAAGCGUUGUUCGGAAUUACUGGGCGUAAAGGGCGUGUAGGUGGCCAACUAAGUCCGACGUGAAAUCCCCAGGCUUAACCUGGGAACUGCGUCGGAUACUGGAUGGCUUGAAUUCGGGAGAGGAAUGCAGAAUUCCAGGUGUAGCGGUGAAAUGCGUAGAUAUCUGGAGGAACACCGGUGGCGAAGGCGGAUCUCUGGGCCUUACCUGACGCUGAGGCGCGAAAGCUAGGGGAGCGAACAGG
rnacentral:rRNA from 1 species